CAAGAGCCACGCAAGCAACGCCUGGACUGAAGGUCACGCUGCCUGGCUUUGUGGGGACAGAUGGCCAUCGCUCAUGAUGUUAGCAAGAAGCUUGACGCUGACUUCUGGACAUCAGCUGCUCACUGUCAUUCCUGAAAAGUCAACCAUAACCACCCUCAUUCCUGAGAAAGAAACUGGGACUCAGAGAUUAAGCGACUUGGUCCAAAGAGCCGAGCUAGAAUCUACCUAAAACCAGAACAGGCCCUUCUUCUACAUCCUACCCUGCAGCGCCCUAUAGAACAUUACAGACCUGCAGUCAUCUCGGGGUACGAAGUUCAAUCCCAGCUCCCGUGUUCCACUCCUACCCCUGGAAUUUUGGCCAAUUCUUGGCAUCCUGAGCAGAAAGGCCCUGCCACAAUGAACGCUGAACUGGUUACUGAGAAUGAGUUUAAUAUGAUCAAGAGGACAUUGACCAACUUUAUGUUGCUAGAUAAAGUUGCAGUGGAAAAAAGAUUGGAGAGCGCGAUGUGAAAUGGUUGUAAGGGGGAUUUUUGCCUGGAUUCCAUCUAAAUACGUCUCAAAAAAUUGUAAAAUAGAAUCUACCAGCUAAAACUAAUGAGCACAGAACUGCAUUGAUUUGGCCCAGGGUGGACAAAUAGAACAUCUGGCAUAUUUGGCACCAAUGACACAGCUGGCAUUGUUGGAAACGUCUCUGCAGAAGGUACAGAUGCAGAAAUGGGAGAAUUGGUACAAACAGUGCAGAUGGAGCAGUUGGAGCAGAUGACAGUGGGCAGAGCUGGCGAAGCUGGCACAGGUGUCAUAACCUCAACAGCUGGCACGGGUUGUGACAAUCCUGGGAUUUCUUAGUACGAGGCACAUGUUCAUUUUGGCUUUGGCCGCAAAGAGAUAAGAGCAUUUUAUAAUUAGUAAAUGUGCCAUUUGAAAAAGAACUUACCCCCCCUCCCCAUCCUUAAGGACAUCUACCUCCAACUGUUAAAGCUUGGGAUAUAGAGCAUUUUUGCAAAUUAGAAUUUCCUGGAGAAAGCCAUAAUUGAUAAAUGCAGAUUUCAGAGAGGAGGCAAUUCGAUAUUUUUGUUCUGAGACAGAGAUGAAAUCCAUGAAUGGGAUUUCUUCGCUGUAGUUUUGCGGGAAAGAAAGGUCAGAUUUGGGGAAAUGAAUGUACGCUUUGCAUUUCCGCCAUGAUCUGUUAUCAAAUUAGCUGCUAUUUGUUUCCGAAAUAGAAUAUUUCCCAAUUGUAUGAAAUUUCCUGGAGAAUCAUGCUUGAAGACGUGGUUCAGAAUUGGAAACCGGUCGGCAGAACAGGUUGGGAAAACAGAAAAAAAUGCUGGAAUACAUAAUAUGGAGAAAUCAUGAAUUGCCACUUUCAAAUACCAGUGGGACUUGGCUCUAAUUUCAUUUAAAAUGCUAUAAUUUGGGCUUGAAUUAAAAAUACAAUAUAGUAUAAUCUUUUGGGCAACGACAUUUAAUGCCAGAUGAAAAGUUAUGAGAACAAAGCAACUUGUUUCAGUGGCUAGAAAUAUCACUGUAACAAAAGUCCGUUCAAAAAGUCUAACAAAAGUAUGGGAAAGCCAAAAAGUAUUACCUAAUUAUAAAAUAAUAAAAGCAUAAGAAAGCAUUCAACAAUGGGUUCUUAAAUUUAUAUGUAUGUUCUCUCGAACAUAGUA